GUCGGAAGUGACGGAACGAGCUAGCGCGUCGAGCCUAGCUCUAUGGUUUUCCUCUCCUUCUGGAGUCGGGAAAUGGCUGCUGUGUAGUUACAACGGACCUAGUCCCGAGAACCCUGCUUCGGUGUGUCAGGAAUUUGAAUAUAGAGUUUAGUUUCCCAGAACAGUCUCUCCAGAAGACUUAAAGUAUCUAAAAGAUCUCGCUAACUGUGGAUCCUGCAUAAAGCCCAAGGAGAAAAGAAAUGGGCCGCUCCAAUUCUAGAUCACAUUCUUCAAGAUCAAAGUCUAGAUCACAGUCUAGUUCUAGAUCAAGAUCAAGAUCACAUUCUAGAAAGAAGAGAUACAGUUCUAGGUCUCGUUCCAGGACAUAUUCAAGAUCUCGUAGUAGAGAUCGUAUUUAUUCUAGAGAUUAUCGUCGAGAUUACAGAAAUAAUAGAGGAAUGAGACGACCUUAUGGGUACAGAGGAAGGGGUAGAGGGUAUUAUCAAGGAGGAGGAGGUAGAUAUCAUCGAGGUGGCUAUAGGCCUGUGUGGAAUAGAAGGCACUCUAGGAGUCCUAGACGAGGUCGAUCACGUUCCAGGAGUCCAAAAAGAAGAUCCGUCUCUUCUCAAAGAUCCCGAAGCCGAUCACGACGGUCGUAUAGAUCCUCUCGGUCUCCAAGAUCAUCCUCAUCUCGUUCUUCAUCCCCAUAUAGCAAAUCUCCUGUCUCUAAAAGACGAGGGUCUCAGGAAAAACAAACCAAAAAAGCUGAAGGGGAACCCCAAGAAGAGAGUCCUUUGAAAAGCAAAUCACAGGAGGAACCAAAGGAUACAUUUGAACAUGAUCCAUCUGAAUCUGUUGAUGAGUUUAAUAAAUCAGCCACAUCUGGUGAUAUUUGGCCUGGCCUUUCAGCUUAUGAUAACAGUCCCAGAUCACCUCAUAGCCCUUCACCUAUUGCUACACCACCUAGUCAGAGUUCAUCUUGCUCAGAUGCACCCAUGCUUAGUACAGUCCACUCUGCCAAAAAUACCCCCUCUCAGCAUUCACAUUCCAUUCAGCACAGUCCCGAACGGUCUGGAUCUGGUUCUGUUGGAAAUGGGUCUAGUCGAUACAGUCCUUCCCAGAAUAGUCCAAUUCAUCAUAUCUCAUCACGAAGAAGCCCUGCAAAGACAAUCACACCACAGAAUGCUUCAAGAGAGGAAUCAAGAGGACGAUCCUUUUAUCCUGAUGGGGGAGAUCAGGAAACGGCAAAGACAGGAAAGUUUUUAAAAAGGUUCACAGAUGAAGAGUCUAGAGUAUUCCUGCUUGAUAGGGGUAAUACCAGGGAUAAAGAGGCUCCAAAGGAUAAAGGAUCAGAGAAAGGCAGGGCUGAGGGAGAAUGGGAAGAUCAGGAAGUUCUAGAUUACUUCAGUGAUAAAGAGUCUGGAAAACAAAAAUUUAAUGAUUCAGAAGGGGAUGACACAGAGGAGACAGAGGAUUAUAGACAGUUUAGGAAAUCGGUCCUCGCCGAUCAGGGAAAAAAUUUUGCUACUGCAUCUCACCGGAAUACUGAGGAGGAAGGACCCAAGUACAAGUCCAAAGUUUCACUAAAAGGCAAUAGAGAAAGUGAUGGAUUUAGAGAAGAAAAAAAUUACAAACUGAAAGAGACUGGAUACAUAGUGGAAAGGUCUAGCACUACAAAAGAUAAGCACAAGGAAGAAGACAAAAGUUCGGAAAGAAUAACAGUAAAGAAAGAAACUCAGUCACCUGAGCAGGUAAAGUCUGAAAAGCUCAAAGACCUCUUUGAUUACAGUCCCCCUCUACACAAGAAUCUGGAUGCACGAGAAAAGUCUACCUUCAGAGAGGAGAGCCCACUUAGGAUCAAAAUGAUAGCCAGUGAUUCUCAUCGCCCUGAAGUCAAACUCAAAAUGGCACCUGUUCCUCUUGAUGAUUCUAACAGACCUGCCUCCUUGACUAAAGACAGGCUGCUUGCUAGUACGCUUGUCCAUUCUGUCAAGAAGGAGCAAGAAUUCCGAUCCAUCUUUGACCACAUUAAGUUGCCUCAGGCCAGCAAAAGCACUUCAGAGUCAUUUAUACAACACAUUGUGUCCUUGGUUCAUCAUGUUAAAGAGCAAUACUUCAAAUCACCUGCAGUGACCCUAAACGAGCGGUUCACUUCGUAUCAGAAAGCCACUGAAGAGCAUAGUGCCCGGCAAAAGAGCCCCGAGAUACAUAGGAGAAUUGACAUCUCUCCAAGUGCUCUGAGGAAGCAUACCCGUUUAGCAGGGGAGGAGAGAGUAUUUAAAGAAGAAAAUCAAAAGGGAGAUAAAAAAUUAAGGUGUGAUUCUGCUGAUCUUCGGCAUGACAUUGAUCGCCGUCGAAAAGAGAGAAGUAAAGAACGAGGGGAUUCCAAGGGCUCCAGGGAAUCCAGUGGAUCAAGAAAGCAAGAAAAAACUCCAAAAGAUUACAAGGAAUACAAAUCUUAUAAAGAUGACAGCAAAAAUGUAUUUGUCUUUUACACGGCUUAUGGUGGAUGAGGACAAAAACUUUGGAAUAGCAAGCUAACACUGAAAAAAAAAAUGACAAAUUAAUGUGUCCUAUUAUCCAGGCUACAUCAGGAGGUUGGACUUCAAUGCAGUGCAUUUCUAGAAACAGUUUGUCAAACAUAAAAGUAGAGAACAAGAUCAUUCUCGAUCGUCAUCCUCUUCAGCAUCACCUUCUUCUCCCAGUUCUCGAGAAGAAAAAGAGAGUAAGAAAGAAAGAGAAGAAGAGUUUAAAACUCACCACGAGCUGAAAGAAUACUCAGGAUUUGCAGGAGUUAGCAGACCACGAGGAACCUUUUUUCGAAUUAGAGGCAGAGGAAGAGCCAGAGGAGUUUUUGCUGGGACAAAUACUGGUCCAAACAACUCAAAUACUACUUUUCAAAAGAGACCGAAGGAAGAGGAAUGGGAUCCAGAAUAUACCCCAAAGAGCAAGAAGUACUUCUUGCAUGACGACAGAGAUGAUGGUGUGGAUUAUUGGGCCAAAAGAGGAAGAGGUCGUGGUACUUUCCAACGUGGCAGAGGGCGCUUUAAUUUCAAAAAAUCAGGUAGCAGUCCAAAAUGGACUCAUGACAAAUACCAAGGGGAUGGGAUUGUUGAAGAUGAAGAAGAGACCAUGGAAAAUAAUGAAGAAAAGAAGGACAGGCGCAAAGAAGAAAAGGAAUAGUAAGUGUGAAAUAAGAUUGCAACAGAGAGCAGAACUUGACACCCAACAUUUUUUUUUACCUGAUUUUGUUUUCAAAUGAGAAUGUAAGCAUUUUACUUAAAUUUUACUGUUUGCAGGUAGUCUAUAGAAAUUUUGUUUUAAGUCUUCAAAUAUCUUGAAAAAAUAGUAGACUGUAUGUUGAAAAUUGUAUUGAAAUAAAGUAGAAAAUUGUUACGUACCAUAUUUGUAACUAUCAACUUUUAAAAAACUUUUACUGUUUUUGUUACAUGCAUUGUAUUUCUUCUUUGUCUAUAAGAAGUACAGCUCUGUGAAAGUUCUGAUUCUCUUUCCUCCCUGUUUGUUAAUGUUUUAUUCUGAAGUAAACAUUAGCUCUACAUAUAAAUCCUUGAACGGAAAUUGUUUAUAGUGACCACACUAAUUAUUUUAACUGUACACAUCUGUUCAACAUCAUCUUUAACUCGAAUACUACAUUGUAGGGUGACUAAUUUUUGAAGUAUACCACAGAGUUGCUACUGGUAUAAAUGAAACUAGUUUCACACUUCACCAAUAUACAAGGAGAACAAUAGCUUUGCUAAUAGCUAAAAAGUUCAAACUAGUAAAAGUUAGAUUGAAAGGUUUGAGAAAGUGGUAUUUUUCUUAAAAGCAGUGGGCUAUAAAUUCAUUUUAAGGAAUCUUUCCUAUUUGAGUUCAAAUUUGAAUAUUGUCUUUCUAUUCUUGAUAGUUUGAGUCACGGUCUUACAUACCAGCUAUGUGUGCCAGCUGUUUGAGAGAUACUUGUUUGUAAUAGCAUUGUUAAGUCUAAGUCUUAGUUCACAGACCAGAUUAGUUAGUAUUUAAACACACACACAGACUCAGACACAGACAGCAAAACUUGUAAUCCUGAUUAUAUGGAUGGAGGAGGAUUCUUCUGCAGGACAAUUAGAUGCAUUCAGUACCUUACCUGAUUUGAUAGCUCAAAUUUAUAGUAGGUUUUGAAUAGCUGUAGGUUAGUUUGUAGUUUAGCUACACACAAGAUGAGACAGACACAACGUUCUGUUCAGUAGUAUUUAAGUAGCUUAUUUUCUCUUAAUGUCACCAAUAAAAAAUUGUGGCAGGAAGUUUGUAACAUUGAUCUUUUUUCCUCAUUGGUUUCAGUUUGUAAAAUGGCUUUUUUAAAUUUUUAAGGAUUGUUUUUUAGGUGGUCUUUCUUUACCUUUUAUUUUUAAUAACCCUUAAGAGAAUGAAAUAGUAAACUUCAGUGUUAUUUGAUUUUUCAACAUGUAAAACUGGCCACAUUACAUUUAAUUCAGCAACUGGAUUAGUUGUAUAUUUUUGCAUUUAAAGGAGAUAAUGCUUAUUCUAUUAAUGUAAACUUUUAAAGCUUUUAAGUGUAUGAUUGUUUAAUUCUCAGUUUUGAUGGUUUGUAAUGUGUCUUAUUUCUUCAUUAUAGCCAGGGACAUUUGGUAAGAGCUAUUGGCAACAAAUUCAACUGAAACCAAAGCCAGCAUAUGAUGUUUGUCUUAACAUCCACUGUAUUGCAUGGUUUCUUUCAUUAAUUUGUCUCUGAAAUUAUUCAGUAAGUCAGAAAAAACAUGCUGAAGCAACUAUAUUGCUUUAAUGUGGACAUAACUAGCACCAUCCUAUUCAGAUUAAUAAUUAAUCCCUUGACACAGAUUUUUUUCAUACUGUUCUAUUUUCUAUGAAUACAUACAGCUUUUAUUUUAACAGCUAUUUGAUUAUACACUGAAUUUCUGCAUGUUUGUACAUGUUUAGCUUUGCUUUUUCUACAAUAGAGAAAAGAUUUGCUGAGAAAUUCUUUAAUAGGGAGCUAAAAGGUUUUAAGUGCGAUUCAGUGAUGCAACGUUUGGUUACUUUCAUUCUUUCAAAGUUGAAGAAAGUACCCCACUACAGUGUAGUAACGGUUGUUAGGAGCACUCGAGUAGAACACUGUCACGAAUCUUAGCUUUCUCAGAGCCAAGCAUACAAAAAGUAGCCUAUAUGUGUUUUUGAAACCAUCAUUUAAUUUUACACCUCAUGACAUGUUACAAAAGCUGAAUGGGUCCUUUUGAUAAAGAUGCUAGGUUACAAAUAGUACCAGGAAAAUAACUAUGAUAAAUCUGCAUUAACAGAUUUCCUUUUGCCCAGAGAAAAUAAAUAAAAAUGAACCAAAGGAUAGUCCCAGAAAAAAUAAAGCUGUUUGAGAAGGCCAUGACUCAGUUCUUAGAUGUGUAAACUUUUCAACAUCCUAGGGAAUUUAAAUUUAAAAAGCAAAGUGUUUUCCAGUUGCCCUCUACUUCAAAGAAUUGUUAUUGUUCCCUUUUGUCACAGUUAAAAUCAGUGUUGGGAAUUAGAGUUUGAGGAAAAAAGAUAUUAACCCAAUAAGAAUGAAUGUAGAUGGCUAAAUGCUUUUUACUCAGUGUGAUGUAUAAUUCAACAGGGAUCCUUGUAAAUUGUCAUAUGCCAAUAAAAUGUUGUAAGUGGUA